CCACAAGCUAUAACACAGCCAAAAUGAUCACCAAAUAAAAAAAGAAAAAUUGAAAUAAGUGUACAAAAAUGAGGGCAUAAGCAUUAACUGGAUCCAGUUUAUCUUGUUAAAUUGCUCAGUAGUGGUAGAUUUUUGUUUGGUGUGUGUUGGGGGUGGGGUUGGUAUCUUCACUGCUUGCCUUUGUCUAGAAGUCACCACACACCACUGCUGUGAUGUUCGUCUGUGGAUGCCUCUCGUGUUCUUUCCAUCCUGCUCAAAGUUUGCUUUCACCUUCCUUGACUUUGUGUUCGUGACUGAUGAUGAUCAUUUCUGAGUGAAGCUCCAUAUGAAGAGUUUGAAGAAGAGAGCUGAACUCUUCUUCAGUCAAAUGAUGUUUCUCUGUCUCUGCAUCUGUUUCUCUGAGUACAGCUGUGUUUGAAAGAACUGGAAAGCCCAAUUCUCCAACAUGUUAACUCUGCUGAUCGUCUUUGAAUCCUGGAUCAGGAGUGUACACGGGUAUUUUUGAAAACGCAGCUGUUUUGUCCACACCUAAACGGCGUUUCGAAUCACCGAAAAAGGAGAUUUUUUUAAAAGUCCUUUUUUCCCCGCUUACGUGUGGACAAGGAUUACAGAGUUCGUCACGCAACGUC